GAUGAACGCUGGCGGCGUGCCUAAUACAUGCAAGUCGACCGAACGGACGAGAAGCUUGCUUCUCUGAUGUUAGCGGCGGACGGGUGAGUAACACGUGGAUAACCUACCUAUAAGACUGGGAUAACUUCGGGAAACCGGAGCUAAUACCGGAUAAUAUUUUGAACCGCAUGGUUCAAAAGUGAAAGACGGUCUUGCUGUCACUUAUAGAUGGAUCCGCGCUGCAUUAGCUAGUUGGUAAGGUAACGGCUUACCAAGGCAACGAUGCAUAGCCGACCUGAGAGGGUGAUCGGCCACACUGGAACUGAGACACGGUCCAGACUCCUACGGGAGGCAGCAGUAGGGAAUCUUCCGCAAUGGGCGAAAGCCUGACGGAGCAACGCCGCGUGAGUGAUGAAGGUCUUCGGAUCGUAAAACUCUGUUAUUAGGGAAGAACAUAUGUGUAAGUAUCUGUGCACAUCUUGACGGUACCUAAUCAGAAAGCCACGGCUAACUACGUG
rnacentral:rRNA from 1 species